rnacentral:rRNA from 1 species
UGAAUACGAGAUGCUACGGCGUCGAAGCAGUGUAUGUCAGACUUCCAAGAAAAGCUCGCAAUGUCAUAAAUAAAGAAUGCCUGUACCAUAACCGACACAGGUGGGUAGGUAGAGUAUACUAAGGGGCGCGAGAUAACUCUCUCUAAGGAACUCGGCAAAAUAACUCCGUAACUUCGGGAGAAGGAGUGCCUUCUUUAAGAAGGUUGCAAUAACAAGAUCCAAGCAACUGUUUAUCAAAAACACAGGUCUCCGCUAAGUCGUAAGACGAUGUAUGGGGGCUGACGCCUGCCCAGUGCCAGAAGGUUAAAGAAGUUGGUUAGCUUUUGCGAAGCUGAUGACUGAAGCCCUGGUGAACGGCGGCCGUAACAAUAACGGUCCUAAGGUAGCGAAAUUCCUUGUCGGGUAAGUUCCGACCCGCACGAAAGGCGUAAUGAUUUGGAUACUGUCUCGGAGAGGGACUCGGUGAAAUAGACUUGUCUGUGAAGAUGCGGACUACCUGCACCAGGACAGAAAGACCCUAUGAAGCUUUACUGUAACUUGAAAUUGAAAUUGGACUUUAUUUGCGCAGUAUAGGUGGAAGGCGUUGAAAGUAAUCUUGCGGGAUUAGUGGAGCCAUCAGUGAGAUACCACUCCUAUAAUGUUAGAUUUCUAACCUUGGAUCAUGAUCUGGUCAAAGAACAGUUUCAGGCGGGCAGUUUGACUGGGGCGGUCGCCUCCCAAAUGGUAACGGAGGCGUACAAAGGUUUCCUCUGAACGGGUAGAAAUCGUAUCUAGAGUGUAAAGGCAUAAGGAAGCUUGACUGUGAGACCUACAAGUCGAGCAGGGACGAAAGUCGGUCUUAGUGAUCUGACGGUGCUGAGUGGAAAGGCCGUCACUCAACGGAUAAAAGUUACUCUAAGGAUAACAGGCUGAUCUCCCCCAAGAGUUCACAUCGACGGGGAGGUUUGGCACCUGGAUGUCGGCUCAUCGCAUCCUGGGGCGGUAGUACGUCCCAAGGGUUGGGCUGUUCGCCCAAAAGCGGUACGCGAGCUGGGUUCAGAACGUCGUGAGACAGUUCGGUCCAUAUCCGGUGUAGGCGUUAGAAUAUUGAGAGGAGCCUUCUUUAGUACGAGAGGACCGAGAAGGACAUACCUCUGGUGUACCAGUUAUCGUGCCAACGGUAAACGCUGGGUAGCUAUGUACGGAGAGGAUAACCGCUGAAAGCAUCUAAGUGGGAAGCCCACCUCAAGAUGAG